UGGUUGAAAGGAGUAAAGGCAAUGUAUGAAAUAAGGCCUGUCCGACCGCCCGAGAUGGGCUACAUUUCUGACAUACUGUCUCAAUUUACAGCCAGCCAGCCUGAUUGUCUGGUAAAAACUGUAGAUGUUUCAUACAUCUGAGUAAAUUCACCAGAUCUUGGUGUCUGGUCUGGUUAUAUCCAUUUUGGGCUGGUAACAACUUUUUGAAGUUGCCAGCCCUGAUGUGUGCCUGGUAUUUUUUGGCUUAUUUCAUACACUGCCAAUAUCAACACUGGUCCAUCCAGUCAUAUCUGUUGGUCUUGUUUAGAGCCCGAUAUAUCAGACAUGGUGGUAAAUGUGAACCAGUAAUCCCACACCUUAACACCAACAGAUCAAUGUCCGAACUGGUCCAUCCAGUCAUAUCAGUUGUUCUUGUUUAGAGCCCGAUAUAUCGGACAUGGUGGUAAAUGUGAACCAGUCAUCCCACACCUUAACACCAACAGAUCAAUGUCCGAACUGGUCCAUCCAGUCAUAUCAGUUGUUCUUGUUUAGAGCCC